AGACAACAUGGCAAAAACAGUUGGCUCUUCCCAUCCUGGUUCUGCAGGACCCAGACUCACAGUUUCAGCAUAUGGGUCUGCACUCCUACAGGAGGCAGAAGAGUGAGCCAGCUGCAGGAGAGUCAAAAAACACCAGGAAACAUGAGCUGUCCCCGGAGAACUGCAGAGCAAAGUCCACACACUCAACAACUGUGAAGUCUCUAAGAACAGCUCUGAAGGGGACCCGAGCACAUCAGUGCAAGAAACAGAGAAGGCAACUUCCUGGAAAAGACAGAGAUGCACAAAGAGGAGGUGACCAUAAAGAACCUCUAAUCUGAUUAGGCACAUCUUCCUGCACCAGCAGGGCAUCCAGACAAGGGGUCCCGCACCUGCAAGAGCCCUGAGACAGGAAAAAUGAGGCGGGUUACAUAUUCAGGGAGAAACAGACAGCAGCAGGCAUGAGGGGCUGCCAGGGCCCUGAUUCUUCUGGAACUUGCUUUGAAGGCCCCGGGACUGGAGCAUGGCGGGGGAGUGAAAAUCCAUUCAACAAACAUGGCCAAUGGUUGCUCACUGCCAGACUAUGUAAUUGCAAAAUCCAUUUCCAGAUGGCAUGCUUGUCUGGGACACUAUAGGCACCAUGCACCCUGCAGGAGCCCUGGUGCUCCCAUCCCAGGUGCCAGCUUCCUAGACUGGACCCAGCCUGUAAAUCAUACCUGAUCCACCAGGCUCCCCACAGGUAAGCAGGUACUCCAGUGUACCCUCCCCCAACCUCUCGGAAGCCCAGAAUCCUGCAGGGG
rnacentral:lncRNA from 1 species